rnacentral:rRNA from 1 species
UUGUGUGAAUUGCAGAAUCCCGUGAACCAUCGAGUCUUUGAACGCAAGUUGCGCCCGAAGCCACUAGGCCGAGGGCACGUCUGCCUGGGUGUCA